rnacentral:lncRNA from 1 species
GUCACGGGCUUAAAAUCUGAUCACCUCAACCCGUGCGGCACUUAGUCGCUUUUCCCGCAAAAGUCGCUAAGUAAGCCUUAAGACAACCGAAAGGAAGGCUAAGGAACCAAGUGUGCAACAAGGAAGUUUUUAGAGAGAGAGAGAGUUUGGGAGAAUGCCUUUGAUUUCUCAAAACUUGGAUGCUUUACAAUGAGGGGGUUGCUCCCUUUAUAUACAAUUCAAUUGUCCUAAAUGUUCCUACAAAUCUAGAGCAAUCUAUGUACAUGGAUCUUCCUAGAAGCUUCCGCCAUAUUCUAGAAUCCUCCACAUCCUUCCACCAUGUUCUAGGAUCUUCCAUAUCCUUCUAGCAUGUGGUAGAGAUUUCUAGAGUUAUCUCCAAGCUUCCGGAAGUUUCAUGAAAGGCCUAGAAGGUUCUAGGCUUUGUUGGGAACUUUGGCCCUCCAUGGGCCUAAUUCUUGGGUCAAUUGGGUGGGCUUGUAACAUUCUCCUCCCCCAUCCAUUUGGCGACGCCCUCGUCGCCAUCCUCGGAAUUUGGCGAUCCCGUACCUGAAUGGCCAUAAGGACUCUCCCUUGGAUGCCUUGUCGUCCAGGACUCGAUCCAUGAACACUAGUUUGUCCUCCCCCCGUAUUGUCCCAUGAAUCCUUUGGCUUGGAAUGGAGAGACUUCUUUCUUCCGCCGAUUCUUGCCCACCUUCGACUCCCUCCCACCUCUUCUUUCUCUUUUGGUGGCCGCCUUGGCCCAUGUCGGCCAAUGGCCGCCCUUGGGCGACUCAGAAGCUCCCCCGCUCUUGGGACAUGGCGUCAGGAAUCUUGGCACUCGACUUUGCUCCAUGGGAAGGAUCCUCCUUAGAGAGUUGCAUGGCGGACAAGGUCUUGGACUUCGAUGCCUCCCUUGCCAAUGGUACCAUACAUGCACUUCCUUCGCCCAUGAUGCACAUGGUCUGGCGAAGGGGAUGGGCAUGCCCGCACCCCAUCCAGACUCCAUCCCCAACACGAUGGGGUAAUCGUCCAUCGUACCCCACCUUGAAGUCCACUUGGCACACCAUUCCCUUUUGCCCCUAUGGUGUACCCGCACGCCCCGAGCAACUCCGUAUAAGGCCGUGCCACCGUGUUGACGGCCCUUACCCAUCCUGUUCUCCUUGAGUUGGAGGCCUAACCGCUUGGCUCCUUGGCUUCAAUAAUUGUGAGAAUCCGCCGUAUCGAUUAAUGCCACGAGUGGUAAAGCCGCGUACCUUUGCUCCACAUCAGCGCCCCUUCCUUGGCGCCUCGGUCUUGCCCACCUGGGCCUUGAUUGCCUCGGCACGCAAGAUCCCCCCCUUUGCCUUCCUCUUGGUGGGGCUCUUCCUCGUCAUCUCGGAUAAGGGGCCAUAUAGUUCGCUCUCUUUUUUGGGCAAUCCCUAGCGAAAUGAUUAUACCGACGCGUGCGCAUAAGAAACAUGAGAGCUUAGGCUUGUCGCCAUUCCUCCGACCCUUGUCAAACCGGUUUUGCCUUGGAGAGGAUGGCUUGGAAAUUCCCUCAUUGUCCCCCCCCUCCCCCACCUAUUGUCAUGGUUAGACAUUCAAACUUGGGCAUUAAAGAGAGGACUCACCUUCUGGUAAGUCUAACCAAAGACUCCACAAUUGAGAUGGGCCGUUGCAAGGUCCUAUUGGUCCUCGUCGUUGCACCUCGAGUUUGGCCCAAGAUUGAAUCCAUCAAUGAAGUGAAAGAGUCCUUCUCGGUCAUGUCUGGAAUUUCUAGCAAAAGCUCGGAGAACUCUUUCACAUAGUUUCCGAAUAGUUGCUUGUAUUGGAGAGAACGGCCGUAGUUUUUUGCCUAGCUGCCAUGCUCCCCGAAUUUAAUCGGGAUAGAAUUGCCGCUUGAUCUCCCUUUUAAAAUCUUCCCAUGGGUCGCUAUGGUGGCAAGUCCCACGUUCCAUAUCCCGCUGUGUCGCCCGCCUCCACCCACAGCGUGGCCGCAUCCGAGAGGAAGAGAGGGGCCGUUUUGAUCUUUUUAUUUUCGCUCAUUAAUACCCGUGGCCUCAAAAUAUUGAUCCAAGCUCCACAAAAAGUUGUCCAACUCUCUCGCAUUCCUCGACCCCUUGUAACUCUCCUCUCCUCGGGUCUAGGAAUGUCGACUUUAAGCGAAGGAGAGGAAGAAAUGUUACUUGCGUCACCGCGGCCAUCUUACCAAGCGACCAAUCCCAAACACCCUUGACUUCCCGUGAUCUCCUCCUUUAUUGGCGUGCGAUCUCGUCUUGGAGAGAGUCUUUAAGAGCAUUCCAUUUUUGCGCCUUCCAUGAUUCGGCCAUCGAGUUGAGGAUCCCUCGGAUCUCCACUGAAACUCCUCAAUGUCCACCCUCGAGUCCAUCGAGGCGUUGAUCCAUUUCCACACAACAACUUUGUCCCGAUCGUCGGCCAUGGCAAAACUCCACCCGUCGGAGUCUUGCCUCCAAGGAAGCCAUGAUGUCGCGGACCGUCCCGUCUUCCCUUUUCCUGGUUGGAGGGAGGUAUCCCCAUCAUAAUCGCCUCAUGCUCAAUCAUAUCGAAGUUUGUUGGCCAUCGCUUAGCCUUCUCGACCAAAGCUCUGAUACCACUUGUCACGGGCUUAAAAUCUGAUCACCUCAACCCGUGCGGCACUUAGUCGCUUUUCCCGCAAAGUCGCUAAGUAAGCCUUAAGACAACGAAAGGAAGGCUAAGGAACCAAGUGUGCAACAAGGAAGUUUUUAGAGAGAGAGAGAGUUUGGGAGAAUGCCUUUGAUUUCUCAAAACUUGGAUGCUUUACAAUGAGGGGGUUGCUCCCUUUAUAUACAAUUCAAUUGUCCUAAAUGUUCUACAAAUAUUCUAAACCAAAAUCUAGAGCAAUCUAUGUACAUGGAUCUUCCUAGAAGCUUCCGCCAUAUUCUAGAAUCCUCCACAUCCUUCCACCAUGUUCUAGGAUCUUCCAUAUCCUUCUAGCAUGUGGUAGAGAUUUCUAGAGUUAUCUCCAAGCUUCCGGAAGUUUCAUGAAAGGCCUAGAAGGUUCUAGGCUUUGUUGGGAACUUUGGCCCUCCAUGGGCCUAAUUCUUGGGUCAAUUGGGUGGGCUUGUAACAU